rnacentral:rRNA from 1 species
CCUACGGGAGGCAGCAGUGAGGAAUAUUGGUCAAUGGACGAGAGUCUGAACCAGCCAAGUAGCGUGAAGGAUGACUGCCCUAUGGGUUGUAAACUUCUUUUAUAUGGGAAUAAAACGUUCCACGUGUGGGAUUUUGUAUGUACCAUAUGAAUAAGGAUCGGCUAACUCCGUGCCAGCAGCCGCGGUAAUACGGAGGGUCCGAGCGUUAUCCGGAUUUAUUGGGUUUAAAGGGAGCGUAGGUGGAUUGGUAAGUCAGUUGUGAAAGUUUGCGGCUCAACCGUAAAAUUGCAGUUGAAACUGGCAGUCUUGAGUACAGUAGAGGUGGGCGGAAUUCGUGGUGUAGCGGUGAAAUGCUUAGAUAUCACGAAGAACUCCGAUUGCGAAGGCAGUUCACUGGACUGCAACUGACACUGAGGCUCGAAAGUGUGGGUAUCAAACAGGAUUAGAUACCCCAGUAGUC